AUUGAACGCUGGCGGCAGGCCUAACACAUGCAAGUCGAGCGGAUGAAGGGAGCUUGCUCCUGGAUUCAGCGGCGGACGGGUGAGUAAUGCCUAGGAAUCUGCCUGGUAGUGGGGGAUAACGUCCGGAAACGGGCGCUAAUACCGCAUACGUCCUGAGGGAGAAAGUGGGGGAUCUUCGGACCUCACGCUAUCAGAUGAGCCUAGGUCGGAUUAGCUAGUUGGUGGGGUAAAGGCCUACCAAGGCGACGAUCCGUAACUGGUCUGAGAGGAUGAUCAGUCACACUGGAACUGAGACACGGUCCAGACUGCUACGGGAGGCCGCAGUGGGGUAUAUUGGACAAUGGGCGAAAGCCUGAUCCAGCCAUGCCGCGUGUGUGAAGAAGGUCUUCGGAUUGUAAAGCACUUUAAGUUGGGAGGAAGGGCAGUAAGUUAAUACCUUGCUGUUUUGACGUUACCAACAGAAUAAGCACCGGCUAACUUCGUG
rnacentral:rRNA from 1 species